rnacentral:lncRNA from 10 species
GUUUUCUAUUCCAUUAACAGGGACCCUUUAAGGAUUCCUGCUUAAUGGAGGCAUUUUAAGUUCCCCCAAGACAGACUCUCAUUCACUGAGCUGACGUUACUCUUUGCCUCUAGGUCUGCCCCGGCUCUUAAGUUCUCAUGAGGAGUUGAUUCAAAUGUGCUGUACCUUUUUCAGGUGCGGCGGGGAGAGAAGUUUGUUCCUUGGGGAUUUCUAUCAAGGUUGAUCAUACACUAAAAGAUGAGAAAACAGAAGAGAUUAGGUAACUGCCCAAGGCUUCCCAGCUGGUAUGUGGUAGAGCUGAGAUUCAUUUACUUGGCCUUGAAGAGCUCCUGUAUCCAAAAGGAAGGUGAGUAGGCUCAGCACCAGCAGACGUGCUGUGAAGAAAAGGCUGUGGCCGCCUUCCUCCUGCUGCCCACCAUGCUGCCCUUCCUUCUGUAGACCCCUGCUCCCUACACCCACUCCCUGAGGCAUUGCCUUUCUGAAAGAAGCCUCUGGGUCUGGGCUAGGCCCAUCUCCUGGACAUAUUCUCUUGAUACUAGAAGCUGAGAAGAGAAGGUGGCAGAUGUGGCUAUAGUGUAAGGGCUGGGUUGGAUGGUGACACGCAAAGUAAUGUGACCCUCCUUUUGGGCUUUCUCUGGGUAUGCCACUUCCUCCUAGGCCACUGUAUGCUCUGGAGGACUGUGUCCUGUCACUGCUGAUGUGCUCCAGAAGGGAAAGGCUGACACUGUUAGAAGGCAGGGAGCCGCCUACAAAGCAUGGUAAUGUGGUUGGGGACAAGUCCCUAACUGCUGAGUUUGAUGUCAUGGAUGGCAACCAUGUGAUCCCACAAAACAUCUCCUUUACCAGUCUCAGGGGAAGCUCUGGGCUGGAAGGCUUUACCCACAGCCUGGCCUGUUGGCUCUGCUGUCAAAAUUCUAGGCAGUUUUAGGUGACAGGAAAUAAACAUAAUGCACAUUAAAAUACCUGAAUGAAAAAAUGAUAACCCGUUAUAGUAGAAAUCAGUAUAUCAUGAAAAUCUGGCAGAACUUAUGGGCUGCUUAUUUCAAAUACCAAUCCUACAAAAUACCAGUCUACCUGAAGAAUUCUGAAAGCUUCUGAAAUAUAAUUAGAAUUGACCCCCCACAAAUUCCCGAUGAAGGCACUAAGUUUUCAACUUUUUAUUUUUAAGGUGACCUUGCUUUAAUGCAAGUAAAUUCUAUUCCUGCCAUGAUCUGACUUGCGGGACAUGUGAUUGUGGCUGUUUUUCAGUGGCAAUGAUGGAAUUUCAGUGAGUACCUGGCAGGAUUUCAGAGCUAACCUGUGGCUAUGAAACAGCCAAGCCGAGUGACCAGCGGUUUUGGUGUUACUAGAAAGUUUUGCUGGCUGGACUGUAAACUCAUACUCAAGUCCUCCAAGCAUCCAGGGCUUGGGAGAACAGAAGUGGGAGUGCUGAUCCUCAGCAAUAAAGAUGGCAGCCUGACUUUCCUCUAUGAGGCCUGCUUGACUUCAGAUACAGAUAUUCAGGUUUGACACUCAUCCUAAAAAAUCCCUGGCACAGCAGAUAAAUUCAAAUGCCCAGUUUCAGAAACGGUAAUUAGGGAGUUCUAUGGCAGAUGGACCAGGAAUCCGAACUUUUUAAUAGGACAGUCUGUUUUAGGUGACCUGAGAUAAACUAUUCUAAGGAUUCUGAUAGAAGCUCUGCAAAUGUCUCAUUUCCCAGUGAUUAUCCUAGACUGCCCACACCUGGUGACCCAGAUGGAGGCAGUCUCCUUCUUAUACAACACACUUUAGCCAGAUGUCUCAUCCUAAUUGGUUCUCCUUGAAUCACUACUGUUCAUGAGGAUGACACUUGCUACUGUACAUCAAAGAGAAAGCAUGGACUGUCAGCAAAUAUUUACUGCCUUAAAAAAUAGACCCCAGAGGCUGGGCGUGGUGCUUCAUGCCUGUAAUCCCAGCACUUUGGGAGGCCG